AUGUGGACACUAUUCUUCAUUUUGUAGAUUCUAUACAAAGAAGAAUAGUGUCCAUAGAG
rnacentral:pre_miRNA from 1 species